rnacentral:rRNA from 1 species
GAUAAACGCUGGCGGCGCACAUAAGACAUGCAAGUCGAACGGACUUAACCAUUAGUUUACUAUUGGAGCGGUUAGUGGCGGACUGGUGAGUAACACGUAAGCAACCUGCCUAUCAGAGGGGAACAACAGUUAGAAAUGACUGCUAAUACCGCAUAUGCCUAAGUACCACAUGGUACAAUAGGGAAAGGAGUAAUCCGCUGAUAGAUGGGCUUGCGUCUGAUUAGAUAGUUGGUGGGGUAACGGCCUACCAAGUCGACGAUCAGUAGCCGGACUGAGAGGUUGAACGGCCACAUUGGGACUGAGAUACGGCCCAGACUCCUACGGGAGGCAGCAGUCGGGAAUAUUGCGCAAUGGAGGAAACUCUGACGCAGUGACGCCGCGUGCAGGAAGAAGGUUUUCGGAUUGUAAACUGCUUUAGACAGGGAAGAAACAAGACAGUACCUGUAGAAUAAGCUCCGGCUAACUACGUGCCAGCAGCCG